UACCAGCACCCCGAGUGGUCGGGACGAUUAUUGGGCCUAAAGCAUCCGUAGCCGGUUCUGCAGGUCCCCCGUUAAAUCCAGCUGCUCAACAGAUGGGCCGCGGAGGAUACUACAGAGCUAGGAGGCAGGAGAGGCAAGCGGUACUCAGUGGGUAGGGGUAAAAUCCGUUGAUCCAUUGAAGACCACCAGUGGCGAAGGCGGCUUGCCAGAAUGCGCUCGACGGUGAGGGAUGAAAGCUGGGGGAGCAAACCGG
rnacentral:rRNA from 1 species